rnacentral:rRNA from 1 species
GACGAACGCUGGCGGCGUGCUUAACACAUGCAAGUCGAACGGAAAGGCCCUGCUUUUGUGGGGUGCUCGAGUGGCGAACGGGUGAGUAACACGUGAGUAACCUGCCCUUGACUUUGGGAUAACUUCAGGAAACUGGGGCUAAUACCGGAUCGGAGCUCCUGCUGCAUGGUGGGGGUUGGAAAGUUUCGGCGGUUGGGGAUGGACUCGCGGCUUAUCAGCUUGUUGGUGGGGUAGUGGCUUACCAAGGCUUUGACGGGUAGCCGGCCUGAGAGGGUGACCGGCCACAAUGGGACUGAGAGACGGCCCAGACUCCUACGGGAGGCAGCGGGGGGAAGUAUUGCACAAUGGGCGGAAGCCUGAGGCAGCAACGCCGCGUGCGGGAUGACGGCCUUCGGGGUGUAAACCGCUUUCGCCUGUGACGAAGCGUGAGUGACGGUAAUGGGUAAAGAAGCACCGGCUAACUACGUG